ensembl:lncRNA novel transcript
GGCAUGGGCAAUGUCAGCAAGGGGGUCUCGUUUCUGCUGGAGACCCCCAAGGAGUGUGCAGAACCUCCUCUGAGUCUGCCAGCUCCUGUUCUUUGUGAUUUGGGGAUGCUCCUGGGUCAUUACUGUCUGGAUGUCCAGCCUGCUUCCUGUUAAGCAGGGUGGUGUUGGGGACCUGCCCCCUCCAGCUGUGGGGGCAUCCAGGUGGGCCAUGGGAGGCGGUGGGCCCCACAGCCUCCUUCUCUGAUGGGCUUUCCUGGACACAUUGGACACUGUCUUCCCACCACCCCACCUCCCGGUUAGCCUGGCCACCUUCUCACUCAAAAUGCGUGGUCUCCAAAGUGGGUGCUUGUGGGUCAGACCACCUCAGAAGUGACCUCCAGGAGAGGGAGGUAAAUAACAGAACUUCUACUUACAUCUUUUUUUCAUCUCAAAGUAAAAGAGACCAAGUCUUAGGAAGGCAUUGACACCAUGGCAUGUAUUCUGUGAGGUUUUCCUCCAUUUGGAGGUGCUCUAUUAAAAAUGUAAGAGAUUUUUUCCCUUUCUGAGGAGCACUCAAGAGGGAUAGUGAAAUAAACUAAACUCAGAACCAGAUUCUUACAUCUCUGUGUUAAAAAGUGUGAAAGAUUUUCAAAACAACAUUGUAUCUGUAAUCACAGUGCUUCUGAAAAAAAAUGAGAGCAAAAGUUUUUUUACUGUUUAUAACAUAAAAUGAUACUUAAUUAUU